rnacentral:rRNA from 1 species
GGCUGUCGUCAGCUCGUGUCGUGAGAUGUCGGUUAAGUCCGCUAACGAGCGCAACCCUCGCUGUGUGUUAUAUGUGUCACACAGGACUGCUGGUAUUAAGCCGGAGGAAGGUGGGGGCGACGUCAAGUCAGCAUGACCUUUAUAUCCAGGGCUACACACACGCUACAAUGGUCAGUACAAUGGGUUGCCAAGCCGCGAGGCGGAGCCAAUCCUAAAAAGCUGGCCUCAGUUCAGAUUGCAGUCUGAAACUCGACUGCAUGAAGUCGGAGUUGCUAGUAAACGCAGGUCAGCUAUACUGCGUUGAAUACGUUCCCGGGGCUU